rnacentral:misc_RNA from 1 species
UUUCCGUAGGUGAACCUGCGGAAGGAUCAUUAUUGUAUAAUCGUUGUGCGAGUGCUGUCGCUGAUCCGAACGGUCGUGCACGUGUGAGUGCCCUUACACAUAUCCAUCUCACCCCUAUGUGUACUACCGCGUGGGUCUGUCUUUGGCCUGUUCGGAGGGGGCCUUACGUUUUCACCUAUCCUUUGCAUGUCUCUUAGCAUGUAUUUUUUGUUUUAGCGAACACGCUAUCAAUACAACUUUCAACAACGGAUCUCUUGGCUCUCCCACCGAUGAAGAACC